rnacentral:rRNA from 1 species
CAGAUUGAACGCUGGCGGCAGGCCUAACACAUGCAAGUCGAGCGGCAGCGGGAAGUAGUUUACUACUUUGCCGGCGAGCGGCGGACGGGUGAGUAAUGUCUGGGGAUCUGCCUGAUGGAGGGGGAUAACUACUGGAAACGGUGGCUAAUACCGCAUGACCUCGCAAGAGCAAAGUGGGGGACCUUAGGGCCUCACGCCAUCGGAUGAACCCAGAUGGGAUUAGCUAGUAGGUGGGGUAAUGGCUCACCUAGGCGACGAUCCCUAGCUGGUCUGAGAGGAUGACCAGCCACACUGGAACUGAGACACGGUCCAGACUCCUACGGGAGGCAGCAGUGGGGAAUAUUGCACAAUGGGCGCAAGCCUGAUGCAGCCAUGCCGCGUGUGUGAAGAAGGCCUUCGGGUUGUAAAGCACUUUCAGCGAGGAGGAAGGGGUUGAGUUUAAUACGCUCAAUCAUUGACGUUACUCGCAGAAGAAGCACCGGCUAACUCCGUGCCAGCAGCCGCGGUAAUACGGAGGGUGCAAGCGUUAAUCGGAAUUACUGGGCGUAAAGCGCACGCAGGCGGUUUGUUAAGUCAGAUGUGAAAUCCCCGCGCUUAACGUGGGAACUGCAUUUGAAACUGGCAAGCUAGAGUCUUGUAGAGGGGGGUAGAAUUCCAGGUGUAGCGGUGAAAUGCGUAGAGAUCUGGAGGAAUACCGGUGGCGAAGCGGCCCCUGGACAAGACUGACGCUCAGUGCGAAAGCGUGGGGAGCAAACAGGAUAGAUACCCUGGUAGUCCCGCUGUAACGAUGUCGACUUGGAGGUGUGUGCCCUUGAGGCGUGGCUUCCGGAGCUAACGCGUUAAGUCGACCGCCUGGGGAGUACGGCCGCAAGGUUAAAACUCAAAUGAAUUGACGGGGGCCCGCACAAGCGGUGGAGCAUGUGGUUUAAUUCGAUGCAACGCGAAGAACCUUACCUACUCUUGACAUCCACAGAAUUUGGCAGAGAUGCUAAAGUGCCUUCGGGAACUGUGAGACAGGUGCUGCAUGGCUGUCGUCAGCUCGUGUUGUGAAAUGUUGGGUUAAGUCCCGCAACGAGCGCAACCCUUAUCCUUUGUUGCCAGCACGUAAUGGUGGGAACUCAAGGGAGACUGCCGGUGACAAACCGGAGGAAGGUGGGGAUGACGUCAAGUCAUCAUGGCCCUUACGAGUAGGGCUACACACGUGCUACAAUGGCAGAUACAAAGUGAAGCGAACUCGCGAGAGCCAGCGGACCACAUAAAGUCUGUCGUAGUCCGGAUUGGAGUCUGCAACUCGACUCCAUGAAGUCGGAAUCGCUAGUAAUCGUAGAUCAGAAUGCUACGGUGAAUACGUUCCCGGGCCUUGUACACACCGCCCGUCACACCAUGGGAGUGGGUUGCAAAAGAAGUAGGUAGCUUAACCUUCGGGAGGGCGCUUACCACUUUGUGAUUCAUGACUGGGGUGAAGUCGUAAC